rnacentral:misc_RNA from 1 species
GAUGAAGAACGUAGCGAAAUGCGAUACUUGGUGUGAAUUGCAGAAUCCCGUGAACCAUCGAGUCUUUGAACGCAAGUUGCGCCCGAAGCCAUUAGGCCGAGGGCACGCCUGCCUGGGCGUCACACGUCGUUGCCCCCCCAUCUACUCCUUCGGGAUUGCGGGGGGCGGAUGAUGGCCUCCCGUGCGCCUCGUCGCGCGGUUGGCAUAAAUGCCAAGUCCUCGGCGACACACGCCACGACAAUCGGUGGUUGCGAAACCUCGGUUGCCCGUCGUGUGCGGUCGUCGCGCAUCGAGGGCUCGAAAAAAUUGCCGGGCUCCGGCUCGGCUUUCAAUGCGACCCCAGGUCAGGCGGGGUUACCCGCUGAAUUUAAGCAUAUCAAUAAGCGAGGA